AGUGAACGCUGGCGGUAGGCCUAACACAUGCAAGUCGAACGGCAGCACAGUAAGGGCUUGCUCUUACGGGUGGCGAGUGGCGGACGGGUGAGGAAUACAUCGGAAUCUACUUUUUCGUGGGGGAUAACGUAGGGAAACUUACGCUAAUACCGCAUACGACCUACGGGUGAAAGCAGGGGAUCUUCGGACCUUGCGCGAUUGAAUGAGCCGAUGUCGGAUUAGCUAGUUGGCGGGGUAAAGGCCCACCAAGGCGACGAUCCGUAGCUGGUCUGAGAGGAUGAUAAGCCACACUGGAACUGAGACACGGUCCAGACUCCUACGGGAGGCAGCAGUGGGGAAUAUUGGACAAUGGGCGCAAGCCUGAUCCAGCCAUACCGCGUGGGUGAAGAAGGCCUUCGGGUUGUAAAGCCCUUUUGUUGGGAAAGAAAAGCAGCAGGUUAAUACCCCGCUGUUCUGACGGUACCCAAAGAAUAAGCACCGGCUAACUUCGUG
rnacentral:rRNA from 1 species